GCCAUCCUAGCUCAAUCGGUAGAGCAAGCGCUUCGUAAGCGCUAGGUUGUCGGUUCGAUUCCGACGGAUGGCU
rnacentral:tRNA from 1 species